rnacentral:lncRNA from 1 species
GCUACCGAUUGAGUAUUGGGCACAAUUGUGGUGGGCUAGAUCAAAGUGCUAACUGGAUAGUGGUCUUGGACACUGAAAAGUUAAAUGGAGCAUUGGAAAGGUGUUUGUCACCUCUGAUCAUCAAAGAAGUCUGUUGACAUGCAAGGACCACGACAGGAUUGGAAACUACCCAUGAGGCAGGGAAGCUUAAUUCACCAGGCUGUCGGGGCUGUCUCCUGUUUCCUCUUAACCUUCCCCAAGGCGACGGAAAAACCAACUCAUUUUCCUGGGGAUGAGGAUCAGAGAGCGAAGAAGGCGAAGGAAGCUGUGCUCGAGAGCGAACAGCCGAGGCUUGCGUGACAACCCCCCACGUAUACAAAGAAAUCCCACUCAAGCUCCUCUACUUCUUUCUCUCAAGCAAGACCCCCCAUCUCCCCACCCCACCAACAGCCUCAAGGGCUGAGGAAGAUCAUACCUCUCCACGUCCCCAUGGACGGGGCCCGAGGUCCCACGGGUCCCCGAGAAUAGUGAGCCGUGCCUGGGUCUAUCAGCUCGAUCAAAGGGGCCUGGUGCUGGAGAU